UACGGAGGGGGCUAGCGUUGUUCGGAAUUACUGGGCGUAAAGCGCGCGUAGGCGGCUUUGUAAGUUAGAGGUGAAAGCCCGGAGCUUAACUCCGGAACUGCCUUUAAGACUGCAUCGCUAGAAUCGUGGAGAGGUGAGUGGAAUUCCGAGUGUAGAGGUGAAAUUCGUAGAUAUUCGGAAGAACACCAGUGGCGAAGGCGACUCACUGGACACGUAUUGGCGCUGAGGAGCGAAAGCGUGGGGAGCGAACAGG
rnacentral:rRNA from 1 species